GAUGAACGCUGGCGGCGUGCCUAAUACAUGCAAGUCGAGCGAACGGACGAGAAGCUUGCUUCUCUGAUGUUAGCGGCGGACGGGUGAGUAACACGUGGAUAACCUACCUAUAAGACUGGGAUAACUUCGGGAAACCGUAGCUAAUACCGGAUAAUAUUUUGAACCGCAUGGUUCAAAAGUGAAAGACGGUCUUGCUGUCACUUAUAGAUGGAUCCGCGCUGCAUUAGCUAGUUGGUAAGGUAACGGCCUACCAAGGCAACGAUGCAUAGCCGACCUGAGAGGGUGAUCGGCCACACUGGAACUGAGACACGGUCCCGACUCCUACGGGAGGCAGCAGUAGGGAAUCUUCCGCAAUGGGCGAAAGCCUGACGGAGCAACGCCGCGUGAGUGAUGAAGGUCUUCGGAUCGUAAAACUCUGUUAUUAGGGAAGAACAUAUGUGUAAGUAACUGUGCACAUCUUGACGGUACCUAAUCAGAAAGCCACGGCUAACUACGUG
rnacentral:rRNA from 1 species